AAAACUUUCAGAUUGCACAAGAGAAUAUGAAAAAGUAUUAACACAAGCCUUAUAGCUUGGCAAUCUCAUGUCAAAUAAGGAAAAGAAGAGGAACCCAAGGUAUGUUUCUCAUCUACCUUCUUUGACAUGGGACUGCCUAAGCUAAAGGCUUGCCAUGUUAUCACAUCCUUCUUUCAUUUCGUCGCAACCACUUUA